AUAUCAAUAAGCGGAGGAAAAGAAACCAACAGGGAUUGCCCUAGUAACGGCGAGUGAAGCGGCAACAGCUCAAAUUUGAAAUCUGGCUUUCGGGCCCGAGUUGUAAUUUGUAGAGGAUGACUUUGAUGCGGUGCCUUCCGAGUUCCCUGGAACGGGACGCCAUAGAGGGUGAGAGCCCCGUCUGGUUGGAUGCCAAAUCUCUGUAAGUCUCCUUCGACGAGUCGAGUAGUUUGGGAAUGCUGCUCUAAAUGGGAGGUAUAUGUCUUCUAAAGCUAAAUACCGGCCAGAGACCGAUAGCGCACAAGUAGAGUGAUCGAAAGAUGAAAAGCACUUUGAAAAGAGAGUUAAAAAGUACGUGAAAUUGUUGAAAGGGAAGCGUUUAUGACCAGACUUGGGCUUGGUUAAUCAUCUGGGGUUCUCCCCAGUGCACUUUUCCAGUCCAGGCCAGCAUCAGUUUUCGCCGGGGGAUAAAGGCUUCGGGAAUGUGGCUCCCCUCGGGGAGUGUUAUAGCCCGUUGUGUAAUACCCUGGCGGGGACUGAGGUUCGCGCUUCUGCAAGGAUGCUGGCGUAAUGGUCAUCAACGACCCGUCUUGAAACACGGACCAAGGAGUCGUCUUCGUAUGCGAGUGUUCGGGUGUCAAACCCCUACGCGUAAUGAAAGUGAACGCAGGUGAGAGCUUCGGCGCAUCAUCGACCGAUCCUGAUGUUCUCGGAUGGAUUUGAGUAAGAGCAUACGGGGCCGGACCCGAAAGAAGGUGAACUAUGCCUGUGUAGGGUGAAGCCAGAGGAAACUCUGGUGGAGGCUCGCAGCGGUUCUGACGUGCAAAUCGAUCGUCAAACAUGGGCAUGGGGGCGAAAGACUAAUCGAACCUUCUAGUAGCUGGUUUCCGCCGAA
rnacentral:rRNA from 1 species